rnacentral:rRNA from 1 species
ACGAACGCUGGCGGCGUGCUUCACCCAUGCCAGUCGAACGGAAAGGCCCUGCUUUUGUGGGGUGCUCGAGUGGCGAACGGGUGAGUAACACGUGAGUAACCUGCCCUUGACUUUGGGAUAACUUCAGGAAACUGGGGCUAAUACCGGAUAGGAGCUCCUGCUGCAUGGUGGGGGUUGGAAAGUUUCGGCGGUUGGGGAUGGACUCGCGGCUUAUCAGCUUGUUGGUGGGGUAGUGGCUUACCAAGGCUUUGACGGGUAGCCGGCCUGAGAGGGUGACCGGCCACAUUGGGACUGAGAUACGGCCCAGACUCCUACGGGAGGCAGCAGUGGGGAAUAUUGCACAAUGGGCGGAAGCCUGAUGCAGCAACGCCGCGUGCGGGAUGACGGCCUUCGGGUGGUAAACCGCUUUCGCCUGUGACGAAGCGUGAGUGACGGUAAUGGGUAAAGAAGCACCGGCUAACUACGUG